CAGGGGCUGUUGCGGUUUCUCUGUAUUAUUGUAGGUGUUUGGGGCGACUACUGAUAUGAAUGAAGCUGAAUUGAACUGAAACCUAAUUGGGCGAUCACCUCGUCAAACAGGUGUGCUUUGCUUUAAAUGCGACAGGAAGUGGAACUGAUAACGUACCUGUGUGUUUCCAGGUGAGUUGUGGUUGGACAGAGGGAACCCUCGCACUGACAGCAAUGCUUCACUGGCUCAGGACAGUGAGGCCCCGCCCAGCAGCCCAGGUGACAUCAGAGAGCAGUCCUCCCUUGUGUCCAGUUGGAGGUCUCAGUUUUGUUUGCUGAUGUAAGCUCUCCUGAUUGGACAGUCGGUAAUCGGAGAGGACCUGUCAGCGUCACUGAAGUCCUUAGAGCUUCAGUCAGCUAAUGCUGCAGCGUUGCCGUGGCUCAGACCAAGAAUCAGAGCUGAGCCAUCACAUUGUGCUGCUCACUCUGACAACAGAAAACCUAAAAAGAAAUAAAAACACACAACCAGC